AUGAGGUUUGUCGGGUCACUUCCUGCCCCAAGUUCAGCGACAUCUGGGACGAACCCAACCCGGGGCUUCCACUCAGCCCCUUGCUCAGGGCGGGAGAAACCGGGGCCUGCGGGAGCCCCGCAGCAGUCCGCGCGGGGAUGGAACGGCCAGGGGACGGGUGCGCAGGCCAGAUCGGAGCCGCCUGACGCUCCUCAGGUUGGGCGGGACCGUCCACCCAGGGGCGGGGCUCCUGCAAGUCUCCGCCCCGCCCCGCCUGCCCUGCAGAACCGCCGCCGGGAACCCAGUUUCCCAGGAACUUUUCGCGGGCGCUGGGCACCACCGAGUUCCGGGCGGGACGCGAACGCGCGGAGGUGCUGCGGCGGGCCCGGCGGACCUCCGAGAGGAGGUGACUGCGCCAUGGACGAGCCACCCUUCAACGAAGCGGCCUUGGAGCUGGCGCUGGCCGAGCCGUGCGAGCUGGACGCGGCGCUGCUGACCGACAUAGAAGGUGAAUUCUGUGCUCGGAGACCGGCAGGCCAGCCGCCUGGACGCCCCGAGUGGCGACGGGCCGGGGCCGCGGAACCAUGGACUGCACGUUCGAAGCCUAGGACGUCCCCUGCAGUCACUUUCCUGCCUGGCACCUGUCAGUCGGAGGGACUCAGGUGACCUUGAGGCCCCACUCCGUGCAGCUGUCCUGUCACAAAGUGUUUUGUCUGUCCUGUACAGAUGGGGAGACUAAGGCCGGGUGAGAGGCGCCAGAAGCCC
rnacentral:lncRNA from 1 species